rnacentral:rRNA from 1 species
UUGGAGGGCAAGUCUGGUGCCAGCAGCCGCGGUAAUUCCAGCUCCAAUAGCGUAUAUUAAAGUUGCUGCAGUUAAAAAGCUCGUAGUUGAAUUUCGGGACCAAUACGUCGGUCGUGCCUCGGUACGUACUGGCAUCGUUGGUUUCUCCCUUCUGACGAACCAUGAUGUCAUUUAUUUGGUGUCGUGGGGAAUCAGGACUGUUACUUUGAAAAAAUUAGAGUGUUUAAAGCAGGCUCACGCUUGAAUACAUUAGCAUGGAAUAAUGAAAUAGGACGUUUGAUUCUAUUUUGUUGGUUUCUAGGAUUGACGUAAUGAUUAAUAGGGAUAGUUGGGGGCAUUAGUAUUCAAUUGUCAGAGGUGAAAUUCUUGGAUUUAUUGAAGACUAACUACUGCGAAAGCAUUUGCCAAGGAUGUUUUCAUUAAUCAAGAACGAAAGUUAGGGGAUCGAAGACGAUCAGAUACCGUCGUAGUCUUAACCAUAAACUAUGCCGACUAGGGAUCGGAUGAUGUUAAUUUUUUAAUGACUCAUUCGGCGCCUUACGGGAAAC